rnacentral:rRNA from 1 species
AUGUCCGACACGGGCGCCGGCGGCGACGAGGUCAUCCACGACGCCCCCGGCUUCAUUCGCGUCUACAAGAGCGGCCGCGUCGAGCGCUUCCUGCGGAUCGACUUCGCCCCGCCCUGCACCGAUGCGGCCACCGGCGUCUCCGCAAAGGACAUCACCAUCCUCCCGGGAGCCGGCGUGUCGGCGAGAGUCUACCUCCCGCCUGCCCCCGCCGGCGGCCAGCAGGGCAAGCUCCCCGUCCUCGUAUUCUUCCAUGGUGGUGCCUUCUGCCUCGGCUCGGCGUUCGACGCCGCCGCGCACGGCCACGCCAACCAGCUCGCCGCGCGGGCCGGCGCGAUCGUCGUGUCGGUGGAGUACCGCCUCGCGCCGGAGCACCCCGUCCCCGCGCUCUACGGGGACGCCUGGGCGGCGCUCCAGUGGGUGGCCGCGCACGCGGGCGGCCAGGGCGCGGAGCCCUGGCUGACCAACCACGCGGACUUCGGGCGCGUCCACGUCGGCGGCGAGAGCGCCGGCGCCAACAUCGCGCACCACGCCGCAAUGCGUGCUGGCGCCGAGGAGCUGGGCCACGGCGUGGAGGUGAGCUCGCUCGUGCUGAUCCAUCCCUACUUCUUAGGGGGCGACAGCUCCGAGUCGGACGAGAUGGGCAUGGCGUUGCUCGACGAGCUGGUGCGGCUUUGGCCGGUGGUCUGCCCGGGGACCAGUGGGUGCGACGACCCGUGGAUCAACCCGAUGGCGGAGAGAGCGCCCAGCCUAGCCGGGCUGGGGUGCAAGCGCGCUCUGGUAUGCGUUGGGGGCAAGGACGCCAUGAGGGGAAGGGGAAGGCUGUACCCUGAGAAAUUGAUUGGGAGUGGGUGGCAAGGCGAGGUGGAAAUCUGGGAGGCGGAUGGCCAGGGUCACGGCUUCCACCUCUUCCGGCCGACAUGCGCCCAGGCGGAAGCGCAGGUCGGCGUCGUCGCUGAAUUUCUGGGCCGCAGAUGA